AGGCAGGCUAGUGCGUGGUUAGGGUUAGGGUAGGGUUAAAUUGAGGCAGGCUAGUGCGUGGUUAGGGUUAGGGUAAGGUUAAAUUGAGGCAGGCUAGUGCGUGGUUAGGGUUAGGUAAGGUUAAAUUGAGGCAGGCUAGUGUGUGGUUAGGGUUAGGGUAAGGUUAAAUUGAGGCAGGCUAGUGUGUGGUUAGGGUUAGGGUAAGGUUAAAUUGAGGCAGGCUAGUGUGUGGUUAGGGUUAGGGUAAGGUUAAAUUGAGGCAGGCUAGUGUGUGGUUAGGGUUAGGGUAAGGUUAAAUUGAGGCAGGCUAGUGUGUGGUUAGGGUUAGGGUAAGGUUAAAUUGAGGCAGGCUAGUGUGUGGUUAGGGUUAGGGUAAGGUUAAAUUGAGGCAGGCUAGUGCGUGGUUAGGGUUAGGGUAAGGUUAAAUUGAGGCAGGCUAGUGCGUGGUUAGGGUUAGGGUAAGGUUAAAUUGAGGCAGGCUAGUGUGUGGUUAGGGUUAGGGUAAGGUUAAAUUGAGGCAGGCUAGUGCGUGGUUAGGGUAAGGUUAAAUUGAGGCAGGCUAGUGCGUGGUUAGGGUUAGGGUAAGGUUAAAUUGAGGCAGGCUAGUGCGUGGUUAGGGUUAGGGUAAGGUUAAAUUGAGGCAGGCUAGUGUGUGGUUAGGGUUAGGGUAAGGUUAAAUUGAGGCAGGCUAGUGUGUGGUUAGGGUUAGGGUAAGGUUAAAUUGAGGCAGGCUAGUGUGUGGUUAGGGUUAGGGUAAGGUUAAAUUGAGGCAGGCUAGUGUGUGGUUAGGGUUAGGGUAAGGUUAAAUUGAGGCAGGCUAGUGUGUGGUUAGGGUUAGGGUAAGGUUAAAUUGAGGCAGGCUAGUGUGUGGUUAGGGUUAGGGUAAGGUUAAAUUGAGGCAGGCUAGUGCGUGGUUAGGGUUAGGGUAAGGUUAAAUUGAGGCAGGCUAGUGUGUGGUUAGGGUUAGGGUAAGGUUAAAUAGAGGCAGGCUAGUGUGUGGUUAGGGUUAGGGUAAGGUUAAAUAGAGGCAGGCUAGUGUGUGGUUAGGGUUAGGGUAAGGUUAAAUAGAGGCAGGCUAGUGCGUGGUUAGGGUAAGGGUAAGGUUAAAUUGAGGCAGGCUAGUGCGUGGUUAGGGUUAGGGUAAGGUUAAAUUGAGGCAGGCUAGUGUGUGGUUAGGGUUAGGGUAAGGUUAAAUUGAGGCAGGCUAGUGUGUGGUUAGGGUUAGGGUAAGGUUAAAUAGAGGCAGGCUAGUGUGUGGUUAGGGUUAGGGUAAGGUUAAAUAGAGGCAGGCUAGUGUGUGGUUAU